ensembl:antisense Nr6a1os nuclear receptor subfamily 6, group A, member 1, opposite strand
UUAACUGACAAACUCAUUUUUCUACUGGGACAGGAUGCUGUGCUGGCUGAAGUUCCAUUUCUACAGCAAGAAUCCUAUCUGGAAGCACAGAAGUUGUCCUCUAGCCACAGCAGCUCCAACUUUUUUGUUGUUGCUGCUUUCUUCUAUCACCCCCUUCCCCUUUUGACAAAGAUCCAACUGUAGAAAGUCUUACGUAACAGUUCAGGACUACUUCGGUUCUUUUACCGGUGAAAUGAAGCUGUGAUAAUGUGGUAAAUAUGGGGAGACACCAAGCUGUGGCUCUUGCGGACUUCAGCAGCACUGAAAUGCAACACUGUGGGCUUUGGCAGCUGCAUUCCGUACUCUGAAAUUCUUAUAUCAUUACUCUGGCAAACAAGAAGGAAUUUGCUUGUUUGAUUUAGCUCUGCAGUAAAGGUUCAAAUCUGAGACUGGUAAAGGAAGGAGAAAGCAACAUAUCCAACCAAUACUGGAACAAUGAACUCUGGUGUUCAAGUUCUGGCUAUGGAACUCCGGGUAAGUCUCUG